CUCCACGCGCCGAGCUUGACAGCCGCGCCGGCCAAUCAGCGCGCGAGGCCCGGCCGGAAACAACGACCCGCCUGGCAGGGGAGGGAAAUGGGCGGGGACAGCGGCCAAUGGCGGCGCGGAAGAGCGGGCGAAACUGGGGUUGGAAAAGGGGCGGGAGAACAGCAGACCCCGCCCCUUUCCCCCUCCCCCCCCCAGCGGCGGGGUGGGAGCGGUGCCAGGCGGCGAGGCCGUGGGCCACCGCCGGAGCCGCGCCAAGGCCCCGGCUGCACCGCGGGAGCCCGCCUCGUGCCGGCAUCGGGGCUACGGUGCCGCACGCGACGCGGGCGUCUCCGACCCGCCACCUCGGCUGCAAAUGGAGUGGGGCGCAGUUACAACCCCCCCAGGCCUCACAAAAACCCCGCCGGACCCCCGCCCCGGAGAGAGGCCGAGAGCGAGCAAACCGCGUGGCGCGUGCGUCACGGCGCCGAGGACAGGAUUGAUGCCCGCCUGCCGCAGGACCGCACUCGGCCUCCGCACGACGAGAACCGGGCCGCCCGCGUCCAGUGUUCGUAGCCGUGGGAGUCCCUGGGCACAGGACGAGGUGGAUGUCGGAGCCCGGGCACCGCUCGUUGCGUGCUGCCGUGUCGUUAACGGGCGUCGGGCCAUCUGAAAACUGUUCCAGAGUCUCGCGUCUCUGGUGGCUGGGAACCUGAGCUUCAAUUUAAAAACCUUGCGUGGCAUGGCAUGGCGCAGCGCGGCGCGGCGCGGCUCUAGCCGGUCUAGUCUGGUUGCGAAGGAGGACGAGGGCCAGAAACCCUUCUCCGUGCGUCGCGUGAGCACGUCCUAGCGCCACCGUGAACACAGUCCUCAGUGCUCGUCCUCCCUAACGAGAGCUCCUUUUGCUACUGUUGACUAAGUUCUCCUCCCUAACGAGAGCUCCUUUUGAUACUGUUGACUAAGUUCUCCUCCACGUCUCAUCAGCCUUUGGCUUCUGUGACUUUGUCUUCUUUUGGUUCCCUCCCUCCCUAAUUUCUCUAUUUCUGCCAAAAACACUAAUUCAUCCAUCGCAUGUCUACGGCAACGACACGCAGAUUGACCUCCGCCGCGCGCCCGUCUCCUGUCCAGCGGAGCAUCCGCAGACCUCGGCCUCUUCUCCGAGCCCUCCGUGCUGCUUCCUUUCCGAGUCAUUGAAGACAGUCUUGUCUCCUCAGACUAUCACCUGGCGUCACCUACUACUUGGACCCCACUCUGCACCCCUCGCAUCUUGGCUAAACCCAAGUCUUCCAGGUUCUGCUUCACAUCACCCGGAUAUGGCCACAUUUCCUGUCCGUCCUCACUGCAGAACCUUUCACGCAGGCUCUGGUGAUCGAUUACUGCAAUGUUCUCAGUCCUUGACAAAUGCCACGUUGCCCCGUUUGUAUCCAUCCAGAACGGUUUUCAACGCAGCAGCAUUCUGCGUCUCUCGGCCCCUCACUUUGAUAUCACCCCUCAUGGUCCAUUCUUCCCCUCUUGAAAAUGAUGAUGUCCGUGUUUGCAAAGCCUUUUUGCACAACUUCUCCAUGCCCGCAUUCUUUGAGAGGUCAGCUCCCACCUUCCAGCAGCCUGAGAUCAGCCUCCUUCAGAUGCACCUCUGUGCUUCUCCUGUGCAGCAAACACCCACAGAGUCACCACAUUAUGCUUUUUACAUCUUUGCCUACAGAAAACUCAACAGUGGUUACUAAUGGCUGUAGCAUGCUAGGACCACUGUGGGAGACCGCUGCAUAUUGUUGUACUCCCUGUGACUGACUGCGCCCCCUCUACUUACACUGUGAGCUCAGUGCAUGAGAAAGCGACAGGCAAAAAGAGCAAACCUGUUCAGAGUACAUCCUCCUUUGUCCACAUCGGCAAAAACUUUCUUCCUAACAGCAUGCCAUUGCCAGCUCUGGGUGAACAUUCAGGUAAACUGCCCGAAUAACCAUAAUGUGUCUUUAAAGACAGACACUUGCGUGAGCAGCAUCUGGACUACAACAGAGAGCGAGUCUAAGUAGCUAGGGCAGGAGGUGGAUGUUGGGACACCCAAAUUCCCAAAUUAAUCUCCCAGCUGUACUGGGAAAUUGAAGUUAUUUUCACUGCAACUUGUAAGAUUUUCUUAAAUCUAUGUGGCUCUCCGGACACAUCUGGAAGAUGCUGGCAUCAGUCCCCUGCCUCAGGGGAGGCUGUCCUUCGCAAUUUGCAACACAGAAACCCUGUUUUCCGUCGAGUGGGAUAUGUCAUUCAGCUUUCUAGUUGUUCUUAGCGUUGUCCCCGAUAGAUUAUAGGAUUCCUCUUAACGCUUUAGAGCUGUAGCAAGCCAUUAACCGGUCUGUUUAUAAGUGCUGAAGCCUGCUUUCCAGUCACUUCAGUGUUCAGGAAGCCAUUAAAGCUGGUAAUCGUG